rnacentral:rRNA from 1 species
CAGCAGCCGCGGUAAUACGUAGGGGGCGAGCGUUGUCCGAAGUUACUGGGCGUAAAGCGCGCGUAGGCGGCUUCUUAAGUCUGAGGUGAAAGGUUCAACGCUUAACGUGAACAGUGCCUUGGAUACUGGGGAGCUUGAGUAUGGGAGAGGGCAGUGGAAUGGCUGGUGUAGCGGUGAAAUGCGUAGAUAUCAGUCGGAACACCCAUGGCGAAGGCAGCUGCCUGGCCUAAUACUGACGCUGAGGUGCGAAAGCGUGGGGAGCGAACGGGAUUAGAUACCCCUGUAGUCCCUGUCUCUUAUA